CAUGUCCUUUUGAUAAAAAUCUAAGGUCUGAUCUGCUCAAUGAAUUUUAAAUUGCCGCAGUAUUUUGACUGUGCAAAGGUAGCAUAAUAAUUAGUUUCUUAAUUAGAAACUGGAAUGAAUGAUUUGACAAGAAAAUGUCUGUCUCUUUUUCAUUAUUUUUGAAUUUUAUUUUUAAGUGAAAAAGCUUAAAUUUUUAUAAAAGACGAGAAGACCCUAUAGAGUUUAAUAUUUUUAUGAAUUUAUUAUUCGUAUAGUUUUUUUAUAAAAUUUAUUUGGUUGGGGUGAUUUAAAGAUUAAAAAAAUUCUUUAAUUAUUAAAUUAUUGAUUUCUAAAUUUAAAAUCUAUAUUUUAUAAAAAUAAAAUAAAUUACCUUAGGGAUAACAGCGUUAUUUUUCUUUAAAGUUCAUAUUAAAAGAAAAGUUUGCGACCUCGAUGUUGGAUUAAAAUUAAUUUUUGGUGCAGUUACUUAAAAAUUGGGUCUGUUCGACCUUUGAAAUUUUACAUGAUCUGAGUUUAAACCGGUGUAAACCAGGUUGGAUUCUAUCUUUAGAAAUUUUAGUAUAUUUUAGUACGAAAGGACCAAGUAUAUAUUAAAUUAAUUG
rnacentral:rRNA from 1 species